UUUAUACGUUCAAAAUUGACCAGAGUAUCAACCAUUCGAUGCCUUCAUUUGUACCCUUUUGUUGCGCUGCACAACUUCGUGUAGCCAUAUAAAAAGACUGCUAUACUUUUUGUGACUGUCCCGAGGCGGGAAAAAGUAACAAAAUCAACAGCAAACUGUGGAAAAUGCUGGAGAAAACAAGGAAAAUGGCAUCACACGAAAAAGUUGCGGUGAUUUUCACACUUGCGGCAAGCGAACACUUUAUUUUGCACGGCAGCACAAAAGUCCCACUGAGGAACGGCACCGAGAAACCAGAAGAAGUAAAAGGCAGAAAUACACGAAGCCAAAAGCUACUUCUCAAAGUCAUUUUAAUUUAAGUUGUGCAACAUUUCAACACUUCACCAAAUAAAUUCAGGAUGGCCCAAGGCACUGAAAGAAGUGCAAAGACCAUGGAGUUAGUUUUACAGAGACAGAGAAAGUAGAAGAAGUUCGCUGAAAUUUUUAAAGUUUCAACUAUGCAAAUGUUCUAAACAUUUUUGGUAUUUUGUUGGUAAAUUGUAUAUUCGAAUUAGCAAUUGUCACUGGC